GAAAAACAUAACAGAAGCGUUGUAUUCUUUUCUAUAUGAUAACAUCAGAGUACUGUAUUAUAGUAGGCCAGAAAUAGAUGGUAUGGGUUUUAAUGUGUGUUUGAUCUCUAGCUAGCUUUUUGACUUUGGGCAAUCUCCUUAAUCUUGGUCUCAGUUCCCUUUUCUGUAAAGUUGUGAGGUUGGAGUAAAUACUCUCUGAGAUAUAUUCUGCUAUUAAAAUUCUAUUAUUGAAUUUGAAAACCACUAAAGCUUUCAGUGAGUCUGAUUUAGGAGAGGGAUGAUACAACUUUUUUUUUAAGCUGGUAAAGUUUUUCAGUGAAAAAAGUAUUUAAAACCUCCUUGUAUUUGUUAAUUGAGCUAUUUUUUACUUAGAUGUGCAAGUUCAAAAUUUAGAUGUGUUUUUGACUCCAUAGCCAGUGGUUAAAAAGUGCAAUUUCUGGAGAUGGCCUAUGCUUCAUCAUUUUGAAUCUGUGGAACAUGGGCAUGUUCUGUAAUGUCUUUGUGCUCAGUUUACUCAUCUGUCAAUAGGAAGUAAUAAAAGCACCUGUAACAGGGAUUUUGUGAGAUUAUUCAGGGAAACUCUUAGCAAAUGACUAGAACAUUAACAUAUUCUUGGUAUACUCUGCUGUCACCAGCUAUCCCAGGCUAUUAUCACUCCAUACUUUAUUAGUGUAAUAAUAGCCUCCUGGUUUUAAAAUCUCUUCCUUUAAAAUCUAUUCUAUGCAUUCCUCCCAGCUUACACUGCCCAAAAUAUAAUUCUCAUAAUUCCCCUCCCCUGGUAAAAACUAUAGCAACAGAUUUCCAAUGCAACCAUAACCUGGCAUUUAAGACUUUCAUUAAUAUAUUGGUUCAAUUUGUCUUCCCAGUUUCAUUCCAUUACUUCCUCAUAUAUAAAGGCUUUGCAUGAAUGGAACUCCCCAAAUGUCCCUGAGAACAAGUGCUCUGCUUGUCUGUGUUAUGCAAUUAAGAGCAGAGGUUAUGAUGCUACUUUAUACCCCAGUAUCAAUCCAGGACCUGGAACACAGUGAGCAGGCGAUGCUUGUUGAAAUGAACAGCUUCUUCUAAUACUAUUUUCCUCCCAGAAAUUCUCUAUUCUUAUCUUUGCCUACAUAACACCUAUCCUUCAAGGUCCCAUUCAAAUAUUAUGAAUUACUGCUAUUCAUAAGCUGCCUACUUCCUCUCAUAGUAAUAUCAUGUGUCUCUCUGGUAGCAUUUAUAUUCUGCUGUGAUUAUAAUUGUUUUUGUCAUUAUCUUAUGUCCUAAUUUUUCAGUGGCAUUGAGAGCAGUGUACUAUGUCUUAUUCAAUUUUAUUUCCUGCAAUGCCUAGCAUUUGGCUUUGACUGUGUUAACUGCAAGUGGCCAGUUGUGGAGUCAAUGGACAUGACUAACAGAAUAAUAUUAUUCAUUGUUUCGUCUUCAUUUUUUAAAGUGACCCUAUUUCCAUAGAAGCAAAUCUACAUUCCUUGUCAGGCUUCUGAGUCUCUCCAUAUCCACUCACAUCCUCUCCAUGUAACAUGACUUUAUGGAACUGUUGAAGUCCUACUGGCCUUCUUAUUAUUCCAUGGACAUACCAUAUUCAUUCUUAACCCCCUCCCUUUGCUAAUGUUUCCUUGGCCUGAGUGCAGUCCUGUCUUCUUUUUCAGCUUUCCAAGCCUUAUUUCAGGUCCCAGCUCAGUUCCUGAUUUUUCCAUGGAGCAGUCCAUGAUUAUUUCAGCAAUGUUUCUUCUCUUUCACAACUGAAAGGAGAAAUUAAUACACUUAAUUUCAUACUUAGUCAUACAAAGACAUCCUCCCCAAACCCAGAACAAUUAAACUGGAAGAGAAUUUAAAAGUGUGGUACUACAGGUGUGCCUAGGUGGCUCAGCUGGUUAAGCAUCCAACUCUUGAUUUUGCUCAGGUCAUGAUCUCAUGGUUUGUGGGAUUGAGCCCUGUGUCAGGCUCUGCACUGGCAGUGUGGGGCCUGCUUGGGAUUCUCUCUCUCCCUCUCUCCCUCUUCCCCUCCUCCACUUGCACUUUCUCUCUCUCUCUCUCUCAAAAAUAAAUAAAUAAACUUAAAAAAGGGUUGUACUACAGAAAUUCUAAUAUGGAAACUUGAGAGGGGCUGUUUCCAUAUUAACACACUUAUAUUAUCUAUGUUAUCAAUAUUAUAUUAUCUAUACAGAUUAUCAUUCUUGACUACUUGUUUGUAAUAUGGUUAAGCAACUGAAUCACCUCUAGAAAAUAGUAUGACUUUAUAUAUAUAAGUGCUGAUUAUAUGUUAAUUCAAUAGAAAAAUAUGGCUUACAUUUGCAUCUUAUUUUUCAUGUGUUUUAGUCUUCUAAGCCAAUUAGAUAUUAAUUAGGUCCUUGUGGGAGAGGUCAAAUCUAGAACUCUUUGGAUUUCCUAUGUUAGCAAACAUAAUGCUGAUUGUGCUGGAGAUUUUGACACAUGAACAAUAUUCAUUGUUGGAUGGGACCUACCUGCCAAAACGCCUGGUUUACUUUAAAUUUAUUUCAUAAUACCUGACACUCUAACUUCAUUCCAUUUUUCCUGGUCUAUUGGCUCUAAGUUACUGCCAUACUUACACUUUUUCUCUGCUCUAUUGCCUUCUAAUUUACUGUCACACUUACUGGACUUCCCAGUAAAUAAGGCAACUAAAACUCUAUCAUUAGAGACUUACACAGAUACAUCCUGGGGGGUAGGUACACAGGGUGGGAGAGGAUUUAUUCUUUAUAUCACAUUCAUGCUAUUUUCACCUUUUGACAGAAGAUGAAAAUGGGGUAUAGUAUAAAUAUUUGUUGAGUGGUCAUAUAAAGAGUAGUGUGCUAGACAAUUUAUACACACUAUCAAGUUUUCUCUUCUCAACAAGUCUAUGUAGUUGCUGGUACUAAGCUACAUUUAUAGUCAUGAAAACUAAAGUUAAGAAGGAAGUAAUUUACUCAAGUUUUUAUCCUUAAACUUGAUCUCCGGUCUGUCUGAUACCAAGGUCCCCACUAACAGAAGGAAAUAAGACAGUGGAUCUCCAACUUUAAUAAGCAGAAAAGCCACCCAAGGACCUUCUUAAAAUACAUAUUACUGGGAUCUAUUCCAAAGAGUCCAAUUUGUUAGGUUUCGGGUAAAGCCCAGAAAUGUUUAUUUUAACAAACAUAAAAAAGGGUUCAUUUGGAAAAAUUUUGACAUAAGGAGUAGUUACAAUAACAAUAGUAUUAAUAUCAAUAACAACUAUACAACGUAUGGAUCAACACCACAUUGUCUACCAAUCACUGUACCACAUUACUAUUCCUCAGACAUCGUGUUAAGUAUUUAUAACACAUUUGUCAUUUAAUUCUCAUGGCCACCUUAAGAAGUAUAUAUUAUUAUCAUCUCCCUUUUAUGUGGGGAGGGAGCUAUGGUCAGAGAGGUCACAUAGUUAGUAAAUGGUGGAAAUAGUCUGACUACAAAGCUCAUGUCCACAACUCUAGGAAAGGGGCAGCCAAAUGAAAGGAAAACCAGGGAGAAUGCUAUGACAGAGCCCAAAGGAAGAGUGCACAAAAGCAGAAGAUGUCAGUGCCAGAGUUAAAUGGGAUAGGUAAUGAGAAGCAUUCCCUGGAUUUGUAAAUGAGGAGGUCAUUGCUGAUGUUAGCAGUGUCAGCUUGAGUAAAAAGAUUGAGCAGUAAUGGGAGUAGUAAGGCAGAAUGUAGAGAGUUAAAGAAUGAAUGGAAGAUGUAAAAAAAUAGCUUAAAUCCUCAUUUUAUGAGUUCCAAUAAAAGGUAAGGGAAUGAGGAGGGAUUGUUUUAGGGAGAAAUGCAAAUUAGGUGAGCAUUUUAAAAAAUAUGGGAUAGUCAUGAAAAUAUUAAGAAAAAAGGAGCAAUGAAGAAAGUGGAUAAGGAUCAAAAAGGUAGAAUUAAUGACAGCUCUUUGGAGAAGAUAGGAUAGAUUUGUUAGCUUUGUUUAGAAGCACUUAUUUUUCUGGGAUAGGAGGGAAUAGGGUAAAGAGGAGCACAGCUAUGGAUACAGGUGUAAGUAUUUGGUAGAGAGGCAGACAUGGGCAUUUACAGAUAGUGCAAUGGAACGUUAAAGUAGCUCAUGUGUGAUGGAUUUUAUUUUUUGCAUUGGGAAAGUUAAUAGUGCCUUCAAACAAACUGAUGAAGAUUUAGUAUAGCUAUUGUGGGGAGAUAGAGUCAGGACUGAUUAGAGAUAUAUAAAAGGAUUGCUGUGGGGUUAAAAGCCCAGUUGAGGGGAAAAAUCAUAUAUUGUAAUAGUAUCAAUGUGCAUGACUGUGUAGUUUUUCUUCAGUGGUGAUCAGUAGAGGGAGAGAACUAGACGCCAGGACUGGGUUCAUCUUAGCUUAGGAAUUUGGUAAAAGCACAUAAUGUGGGCAACAAUGUCACGUAUCUGAAGGUGUUGACAAUAGGCGUGGUGAAAUGAAGGACUUUGAGGCUGGAAUUAAAGAAGACAGUGAAACUUAUGGACCUAGAGGUAAGGGUGACCAAGGAAUUGGGUUUGAAAGAGAUGGUAAAUUAGUACAUGGUAAAAAUAGUGAAAGAACUGGAAAAGUAUGCAGUUGUGGGCUCAAAAUGGGAAUGAAUGGGAUCAAUUGUAUUUUAGUAUAUAUGGCAGCAACCUGACAGGAGUGUGGUUUUUUUAGCUCCCACGAUCCAAUCUAUCUUUCUCUUACUUUUCAGGAAAUCUGAAAUCCUAAAGUCAAAGGACAAGGUCUAAUUUUGGCUUUGUGUUGUCCUCUCAGCCUCUCUUGUCUGAAAUCCACAAUCCAGUUGCCCUAUUCAGUUUGGACUUUGGCUAAUAAUACUCAUAGUCUGCCCCUAAGAGAAAGACAAGAGAAUAUGGACUUAUUUGGGAAGAUGGAUGACAUAUUAUACAAUUUUAUGAAUUCCUCAAAAAGGUUAAACAUCCACUAUGUGCCAUGGACUAUAUUAAGUGGGUCCAUUAAAGCAGAGACAAUGUGUCCUCAGUAAGGAGCACAGUACUUGACACAUGCCUGGAUACACGGACAUCUGCCAGAACCAGCUCAGCACAAGCACUCUCUCCCCAGCUUCCUGCAGAAUACCCUGCCACCAUGUUCUCCUGUGGACGACCUCCCUCCAACAUACUCUUGGCAAGAGUCCAUUAAAGCAGCACCACAAGCCUGGCAUUGUGCAAGCAGCCCUGAGAAAGGCUAGUACCACUCCAAAGUGACUUCUGCCUCAGGGAGAGAGGAAGAUAACCACAACCACCAGUAUGACUGUGGCCCCAGCAGUGGUGGUGGCAGACAUCUGGUGUGACUGUAGGUCCCUCCCAGCAGUGAAAGAUUCUCAAGGGACAACUCAGGAGAAUGCCCUGGAAUUUGGUACAACUGCAGCUCUGGCAAACACCUGAUCUGACUAAACUCAAGUCCAAGGCAGCCCCAGACUGGCCCACUAAUAACACAGGGACCAAACCCUGCCCACAACAGACAAAAAAAGUCAUUACAUGACUAGACUGCAAGCAAAUGCAGCACAACCAGCACAACAGAAAGCAUGCAACACACAUAGGAGACAUCAGAAGUGGUUCUGGCCGACGGGGCAUUACAUUGCAGGGCACUGCAGGACCUCUUUUUCAUAAGGCCACUACUUUUCUUUUGUUGUUUUUGGGAUUAUCUCUCCCUCUUCUCUCUUUCUGCUCCUCCCUUGCUUGUGCAUGCACUCUCUCUCUCUCUCUCUCUCAAAAUAAAUAAAUAAACUUAAAAAAUGAUUAAAAAAUUUAGAGUGCUAUAUGCAUAAGAUGUUACAUCAACCUAAUGGUAACCACAAAUCAAAAUCUGAUAAUAGAAAUACAAAAAAUACAAAGAAAGGAAUCCAAGUAUAUCACUAAAGAAAACCAGCAAGCCAUGAGAGUAGAGAACAAGAGAAUAAAGGAACAGAGAAGAACUACAAAAAUAAUCAUAAACCAUGUAACAAAAUGGCAAUAAGUACACACUUAUGAAUAAUUACUUUGAAUGUCAGUGGAUUAAAUGCUCCAACCAAAAGACAUAAAGUGACAGAAUGGAUAAAAAAACAAGACCCAUCUAUAUGCUGCCUCUAAAAGACUCAUUGAAGAUCUAAAGACAUGUGCAGUAAGACGGUGUAGUAAUACUUGUAUCGGACAAAAUGGAUUAAAACAAAGACUGUAAGAAGAGACAAAGAAUAACACUAAAUAAUCAUAAAAGGAUCAAUAUAACAAGAAAAUAUAAUAAUUUUAAAUAUUUAUGCCUACAACAUGAAGCACCUAAAUACAUUAAGCGGCUAAUAACAAACAUUAAGGAAGUAAUGUAUAGUAACUAUAAAAUAGUGGGGGAUGUUAACACCCCACUGAUAUCAAUGGCAGGUCAUACAAACAGAAAAUCAACAAGGAAACAGUAGUUUUGAAUGACACAUUGGACCACAUGGAUAUAACAGAUAUAUUCAGAACAUUCUGUCCUAAAACAGCAGAAUGCACAUUCUUUUUGGGUGCACAUGGAACAUUCUCCAGAAUAGAUCACAUAUUAGGUCACAAGACAAAUCUCAACAAAUUCAAAUAGAUUGAAAUCAUACCAUGCACCUCUUCUGACCAGAAUGCUAUAAAACUAGAAGUCAACCAUAAGAAAAAAAAUGUGGAGGGGACACAAAUACAUGGAAGUUAAAGAACAUAUUACUAAACAGUGAAAGAGAUAACCAAGAAAUCAAAGAAGAAAUUAAAAAAAUACAUGGAAUAUAAUUUUUACCUUCCAUAUAAACCAAAAAAUACAAAUGAAAAUGAAAACACAAUAGUCCCAAAUCUUUGGGAUGCAGCAAAAGCAGUUCUAAGAGGGAAGUUUAUGGCAAUACAGGUCUACCUCAAGAAGUGAGAAAAUCUAAAAUAAACCACCUAAUCCGAAUCCUAAUCCUAAUCCUCAUCCCAAUCCUCCUUUAGGAGCUAGAAACAGAAGAACAAACUAAACCCCAAACCAACAGUAGGAAAGAAAUAAUAAGGAUUAGAGCAGAAAGAAAUGAGAUAGAAACUAAAAUCAAUCAAACAAAAAUCUAAUUGAACAGAUCAAGAACCAGGAGCUGGUUCCUUGAAAAGUUCUACAAAAUUGAUAAAACAUUAUCAAGGUCAUCAAAUAAAAAAAGAGAAAGGGCUCAAAGAAACAAAAUGAGAAAUGAAACAGGAGAAAUAACAACUGACACCACAGAAAUACAAAGGACUGUGAGAGAAUAUUAUGAAAAACUCUCUGCCAACAAAUUGGACAACCAAAAAGAAAUUGAUAAAUUCCUAGAAACAUAUAACCUCCCAAAACUGAAUCAAGAAGAAAUAGAAGAUUUGAACAGACUGAUAUCCUGCAAUGAAAUUGAAUCAUUAAAAAACUCUCAACAAACAAAAGUCCAGGACUGCCUCACAGGUGAAUUCUACCAAACAUUUAAAGACUUAAUACCUAUUCUCCUCAGAGGCACUUGGGUGGCUCAGUCGGUUAAAGGUCAGUAAACAAAAUUAAAAAGGAAAUAAAACGUAUCCAAAUUGGUAAAGAAGAAGUAAAGCUUUCACUAUUUGCAGAUGACAUAAUACUAUAUAUUGAAAACCCUAAAGACUCCACUGAAAAACUACUAGAAUUAAUGAAUGAAUUAAAUUGAGUAAGGAUGCCGGUCACAAAAUCAAUAUACAGAAAUCCAUUGCACUUCUUUUUUUUAUUAAUUUUUUUUUAGUCUUUAUUUAUUUUUGUGAGAAAUUGCACAAGCAGGAGAAGAACAGAGAGAGAAGGAGACACAGAUUCCGAAGCAAGCUUCAGGCUCUGAGCUGUCAGCACAGAGCCCGACUAGGGGCUCCAUCUCAGGAGCUGUGAGAUCAUGACCUGAGCCGAAGUUGGCCGCUUGACAGACUGAGCCACCCAGGUGCUCCUCCAUCGCACUUCUAUACAGUAACAAUGAAGUAGCAGAAAGAGAAAUUAAGAAAACAGUCCUGUUUCCAAUUACAGCAAAAAUAAUAAAAUACCUACGAAUAAACUUAACCAAAGAGUUGAAGACCCAUGCUCCAAAAAGUAUAAAACACUGAUGAAAGAAAUUGAAGAUGACACAAACAAAUGGAAAGACAUUCCUUGCUCAUGGGUUGGGAGAACAAAUAUUGUUAAAAUGUCCGAUAUUACCCAAAGCAAUCUACAGAUUCAAUGUAAUCCCUAUCAAAAUACCAACAGGGAUGCCUGGGUGGCUCAGUCGGUUACGCUGCCAACUUUGGCUCAGGUCAUGAUGUCACAGUGCAUGAGUCUGAGCCCCACUUCAGACUCUGCUGACAACUCAGAACCUAGAGCUUUCUUCAGAUUCUGUGUUUCUAUCUCUCUCUGCCCUUCCCCUGCUCAUGCUCUGUCUCUCUCUCUGUCUAAAAGAAAAGAAAAGAAAAGAAAAGAAAGUAAAAUAAAAUAAAAUAAAAUAAAAUAAAAUAAAAUAAAAUAAAA